UGAAAUCGUACUGUUAUCAAUGAAGAACCCAGAACCCAUAGGCAUUCUCUAGCCCAUCGCUAGGCGAGCCUGCAGCGAAGCUUCGCUAAGCGAAACAGUAGCGAUCGCGAUAGUAGCUGCUUUUUCUGUUUGCUCUCUAAUUUGUUUUGUGUUUGUUAUGACAUGUUUUCUAUUGCAUCCGGGCACAUGUUUUAGUAUGUAUGUCAUGUCUUGAUGUAU
rnacentral:lncRNA from 1 species